rnacentral:rRNA from 1 species
UACGUAGGGUGCAAGCGUUGUUCGGAAUUAUUGGGCGUAAAGCGCGUGUAGGCGGCUCGUUAUGUCGGGUGUGAAAGCCCUCAGCUUAACUGAGGAAGUGCGCCCGAAACUGGCGAGCUUGAGUGUCGGAGAGGAUAGCGGAACACCCGGUGUAGAGGUGAAAUUCGUAGAUAUCGGGUAGAACACCAGUGGCGAAGGCGGCUAUCUGGACGACAACUGACGCUGAGACGCGAAAGCGUGGGGAGCAAACAGG